AACGUAGGUACCGAGCGUUAUCCGGAUUUACUGGGCGUAAAGCGCGUUCAGGCGGUUUGGCAAGUCGGGCAUGAAAUCUCUCGGCUCAACCGGGAGAGGUUGUCCGAUACUUCCAGACUUGAGGGCAGUAGAGGGUGGUGGAAUUCCGGGUGUAGUGGUGAAAUGCGUAGAUAUCCGGAGGAACACCAGUGGCGAAGGCGGGUCUCUGGGCCGAUACUGACGCUGAGGAGCGAAAGCGUGGGGAGCGAACAGG
rnacentral:rRNA from 1 species